CAUGCACAGCGAGAGCGGUCGUGAGUGUGGGGCAGUCUGUACUGAGGCUGGAAUGAGUUGUGUUUGUGCAGCUGCUUGAAGGUGGGAGAACAGAUGUGGAGAUUCUCGACUGUGAUGCAGAAAGGUAUCACCCUCUCCAAUCAAGGCAGCCAGCUUCAGUUCAACUGAGUGCUCCCACCAAGAAGAAAGGGGCUGGACUCUGCUGGGCCACAGACAACACUGCAGGAAGCCUCCAGGGGAGCUGGUAGCGGGCUGUGAGAUCUGCUAUUCAUGUCCUGUGCUCACUAUCCUCAUCCAAGUCCCAGUCCCUGGACCUCUUCUUUUACAGAUACUUUCAACCCUCGGUCAUCUUAUAUGAUCACAGGUUGCUUCUUGAGAAAUGAAGAAAGAAAAAUGAGGAAUACCUGCUUGCUGCAUUUGGAGGCAGUGACUUUCCUGAAUGGGUUAUGCACUUCCGGUCCACAGGUGUUGUGGGUAUAGUAGCCUGAUGAACGUUGGUCUGGGGAGCCACAUGUCCUAUGACCUCAGGCUGAUGGGGGAGAAUGGAGAUGUCCUGAGGAAGAAUUCACAACUCUGCAACUCUCCUGGAAACUAGGGAGACAAAGUUCAAAACCAGGGAGGUAUCUUCAGGCUACGGAUAGCCCAGUGCAGGGCCAGAGUGUUUGGAGGAACAGCAUGAGCCCUGUGUUUUGCCUUUGUAACUUCUGCCUUAAUGUGAACUGAUGAGAAAGAGCUGGUUCCCACUGAGAUGUGGCAAAGUGUGAGAGGCAAAGUAUUAGAGUAUGAGAGGGAGGGGCCACUUCCAGGGACU